rnacentral:misc_RNA from 1 species
GCCAGGCUUUUUCUUUAUCACGAAG